UAUCCAUUUCUAAGCUCUGAAGGCAACACACCUCUAGUAAACAGGAGGGGGGAGGGGCUACUAUACAGGAAGGCUUCUAGGCCUCAGGACCCCAACACACCUCUAGUAAACAGGAGGGGGGAGGGGCUACUAUACAGGAAGGCUUCUAGGCCUCAGGACCCCAACACACCUCUAGUAAACAGGAGGGGGGAGGGGCUACUAUACAGGAAGGCUUCUAGGCCUCAGGACCCCAACACACCUCUAGUAAACAGGAGGGGGGAGGGGCUACUAUACAGGAAGGCUUCUAGGCCUCAGGACCCCAACACACCUCUAGUAAACAGGAGGGGGGAGGGGCUACUAUACAGGAAGGCUUCUAGGCCUCAGGACCCCAACACACCUCUAGUAAACAGGAGGGGGGAGGGGCUACUAUACAGGAAGGCUUCUAGGCCUCAGGACCCCAACACACCUCUAGUAAACAGGAGGGGGGAGGGGCUACUAUACAGGAAGGCUUCUAGGCCUCAGGACCCCAACACACCUCUAGUAAACAGGAGGGGGGAGGGGCUACUAUACAGGAAGGCUUCUAGGCCUCAGGACCCCAACACACCUCUAGUAAACAGGAGGGGGGAGGGGCUACUAUACAGGAAGGCUUCUAGGCCUCAGGACCCCAACACACCUCUAGUAAACAGGAGGGGGGAGGGGCUACUAUACAGGAAGGUUUCUAGGCCUCAGGACCCCAACACACCUCUAGUAAACAGGAGGGGGGAGGGGCUACUAUACAGGAAGGCUUCUAGGCCUCCGGACCCCAACACACCUCUAGUAAACAGGAGGGGGGAGGGGCUACUAUACAGGAAGGCUUCUAGGCCUCAGGACCCCAACACACCUCUAGUAAACAGGAGGGGGGAGGGGCUACUAUACAGGAAGGCUUCUAGGCCUCAGGACCCCAACACACCGCUAGUAAACAGGAGGGGGGAGGGGCUACUAUACAGGAAGGCUUCUAGGCCUCAGGACCCCAACACACCUCUAGUAAACAGGAGGGGGGAGGGGCUACUAUACAGAAGGCUUCUAGGCCUCAGGACCCCAACACACCUCUAG
rnacentral:lncRNA from 1 species